rnacentral:rRNA from 1 species
UGCGUAGGUGGUUGCGUAAGUAAGGAGUGAAAUCCCUCGGCUUACCCGGGGAAUUGCUUUUUAUACUGCGUGACUUGAGGACUAAAGGGGAAAAGGGAACUCCAGGUGUAGCGGUGAAAUGCGCAGAUAUCUGGGGGAAGGCCGGCGGCGAAGGCGCUUUUCUGGUUAGUACCUGACACUGAGGCACGAAAGCGUGGGGAGCAAACA